rnacentral:lncRNA from 1 species
AGGCAACAUAAGCCACAAGCUGAGCAGCCUCACAACAUGUGAUAGUUGAGCAUCAUUUCACUUUGAGCACCGUCCCAUAUCAAGUAUCAGUUCAAGACAACAUCUAGUUACUUCAGCCCACACAUGGACUGCAUUUCAAGUCUCCAACCAAAAAACUCUCUUGAUCGAAGACUUGGGGGACUACUGUUUAUACCAUACUUAGGGCCUCCGUAUUUAGACCUCGUAUAAAUACUCGGGAGACUCAAAUGUAAUUAUGUAAUAAAGGAAAUGGCAAAUAUGUAAAAAGGGGAGGAGCCCUUAUUCUAUAAAAGGGCGUCCUCACCCUCACAAACCCUAAGUCUCUCCUAUCUAGAGCUAAGCUCUGACAUUCUCUCCCUCAUAAUACUCUCAGAGAAAUACAAUCAGUGUGAACGUAGCCCAAACCUUGGGGUGAACCACGAUACAUCUUGUGUUAUUUACUUUCUUGUAGAUUCAUGGUCGGAUUUACGUUGUUCCAAGACCUCCGGUUUGUGCAUCAACACAUAUUAUUCUAACAUGUAAAAAUAAUUGUUUCUCUCUCUUAAAUAUCUAAUAUGUUAAAUGAUGAGCUAAACUAUUAGAUUGAUCUCUUUGAACAUACAAUCUAGCCAUGUAACAUGUUAAACUAAUUAUAACGAUGGAAUUAAAUCAUUCUAAAUUGAUCCUAUAAUUACAAUGUAAGAUGCUAAACCUUUGACAAUGAUGAAACAAAAAAUUUUCAUCUUGAAACUCUGUUAAGGCUAGCUUUCACAUGUCAUAACUAGUUAUCCACCACUAUCUUUUGAAUUUUGAAACUCCACAUUUUAACAUCUAAUAGGAAUUUUUACCACAUGCUAAAGUAGGGAUAAAAACACUUUAAAAUACUUGCAAUACUUGUAAGAGUACAAGGUUAUCGCAGUAUAGCAGCUCAAGCAAGGUUGUUUCCAUAGGGAUUGAUUGAAUAAUUUGUAUUUAAACUAAUUCUUAGUUAACUAUUUAAAACAAAUGUUGAUUUUAAUACCUCAGAUAUUAAAAACAAAUUUUAAAUUAAAACAAUUAAAGAAACUAAUUUGAAAGGGAACAAUCUUAGAAAAUAAUGAUAAAAGGACACGUUGCGCCAUCACUUUAACAAUCAUAUGUAGUUUUACCAAUUACUUAUGAAUUACAUAUGCAACUUUGAAGGUUAGGUUUUCCUUAUGCAUUCUACUUGUGGCAUUCAAGCUAGAACGUAUAUCAAACAUGCAAUCCGUUUAUGGCAUUCAUAUCAAAUAUAAACAUGUAUGACUCAUUACGUUUUGUGAAAACCCUUUGAAAAACCAUGCAACCCCUAAGAUGUGGCAUUCACCCUAGGUGAACUUACAACUAUCAAUCACAAGAAGCAAUACUCAAUCCUUCGGUGGCAUACUGAUCAAAUUGCAUCCGAUUACUUAUCUAAACAUCCUAAUGGUAGCUAAGCAUUAAGAUACAUAGACAGUUUAAACACAAUGAUUAAUAAUUCAAAGUAUGCAUGAAUAAUAUCAUAAGCAAUUAAAUAAAAACUACAUAUUCAUGCUAAGGCUCAAGGCAUCAUCCUAGCAAACGGAAAUUAGUUACGAACAAUCAUAAAACAAAAAGAAUUUUAUUGAAAUAGAAAAAGGAUAGAAAACACUUUGAAAUACAAAUCGUCAAAGCCUAGCUAAGUUCUCCAAAUUGAUGCAUCCCCCUUCUAAUGGCUAAAUAGCCUUCUUUAUACUACUAUAAAAUAAAAUCCUUCUUAGAAAAGGUCUUCUAAAAACUAGGAAACAUAAGAUAACUAGGAAAUAAAAGGUUUCCUAUUUAAACUGAAAUUUGGACUUAUCAAGAAUCAGACUUUUGACUGUCCAAAUCAACUCCGAUUUGGUUCUAAAAGGUCUAUUUUGAAAGCUGAAGACGUCCCCUACAAAUCCUUAAAAGGAAUCUUUCUCAAAAUAUACUAUCUUGACCUUCAAAAUACUCAAAACGUCCAGAAACGUCAAUCUGGGAAAGCUGCGCGCUGGGCCUUUAUUUCAUCGCCACGGUCAAACGCCUUUGUAGAAAAAUCUAGAAUUUUGAUACAAUCAUCUUGAAAGACUCAUGAAUAUCUUCUAAUUGGAAUCACUCCAAAAUUCAUCUGUUUCAUCAUUUUUUGCUCCAAAUGAAGUAGAAUGUCUUACAUUGAAAAUAUAUAUCAAAAUAUUAAAAUUUUACCAAAUAACCAAUAAACUAUAACUAAGAAUAGGAUAAAACAUAUGGUAUAAAUACUCAUCAACAUCAUUAUCAAUAUCAUAUGAUACAUUCUUGAGAACAAUGUUUUUUGAGGCCGACCUGUUUUUAUUAUAUGAAAACGUGGAUUGUGCUUGAUUUGACAUUGAUGGGUCAUUAGCCAAGUCCCAUCCUUUUAACAUUGGAAUGUUUAUAUAUUUAACUAUGAGAUUUAUUUUAUGCUAUAUAUAUGAUAUAUUUAUCUUAGCACCAAUCAUUAAGUAGGAGGGAAGGGAUAUUACCCGAACCACCACAAGGUCACCUAGGAAUUCCAAGCUCGUAUACUACAACACAUUUUAAUUUUGAUUUUUGGUACUAGUGAAUUACACAAUUGUGAUUAGAAGGAAGCUGAAACACUUAUGUAAGCCUUCCCAACCUUCGAAAAAGUUGAUUGUUGUGACAAAAUAACCAGAUGGCCCAUGUUUCAAGCUUUGUUUGCUUGUUGUGUUAGGUGUUAAUCAAGUAGUUAAAAUAAUCCAACUUGCAGAUUAGUGCAAAUAAUGGGAAGAAAUAUAUGAUACAAGAAAGUACAUACGUAGCAAUUUAGACACAUCU